rnacentral:rRNA from 1 species
AGAGUUUGAUCAUGGCUCAGGACGAACGCUGGCGGCGUGCUUAACACAUGCAAGUCGAACGGAAAGGCCCUGCUUUUGUGGGGUGCUCGAGUGGCGAACGGGUGAGUAACACGUGAGUAACCUGCCCUUGACUUUGGGAUAACUUCAGGAAACUGGGGCUAAUACCGGAUAGGAGCUCCUGCUGCAUGGUGGGGGUUGGAAAGUUUCGGCGGUUGGGGAUGGACUCGCGGCUUAUCAGCUUGUUGGUGGGGUAGUGGCUUACCAAGGCUUUGACGGGUAGCCGGCCUGAGAGGGUGACCGGCCACAUUGGGACUGAGAUACGGCCCAGACUCCUACGGGAGGCAGCAGUGGGGAAUAUUGCACAAUGGGCGGAAGCCUGAUGCAGCAACGCCGCGUGCGGGAUGACGGCCUUCGGGUUGUAAACCGCUUUCGCCUGUGACGAAGCGUGAGUGUACGGUAAUGGGUAAAGAAGCACCGGCUAACUACG